CCUCGGGCGCCCCCCUCCCCGGGGCCGCGCCGCCCGCGCCGCCCGCCCCGCCCGCCCCGCGCCGCUCUGCCGCCUCCCGGGGUCGGUGAGCUGGCGGGGCUCCCUCGGUAAGCGGAGCUGUGCCCUCCCGACGCCGAGGCACGUCCCGGGCCCGGUCGCCUACCGCGCGUGGCGGUGCACAGAGGGGACCAGGCCAGAGCCCGGAGGCCCGCGUCCCCGGGGCCGCGAGCAGGUCUGGCGGAGACCUCGGGGCCGGGGUCGGGGCGGGCAGCGGCGGGCGAGAAGGCCCCAGCAGCGGCCUUGCGGAGUGUGCCUCCUUGGCGGUGUAGACGGCGCAGUCUACACCGCAGACCCCCGUUCCGCGGACUUCUAUUGCUCGCCCGCCGUGGAAGAGCCACUGAGGAGAACGGAAGAAAGUCAAAGAGGAAUCAAAGAGUCGGCUUAAAAUGUAGCAGGGGAGAUAGAAUUCGUAGGGGAAGUAAUGGGACUCGUUUGAAAGAAGAUAGGACUGAAGAUGAGGGUACCACUUAGGAAGCUAGUCAAGCAAUGUAAUGUCCCGAAGGAGUUGCCACUGAAAGGAAGAAGGAGAAGGAGCCUUCAGGGACAGCAGCGGAGACGUGGCAGGGCGCAGUGUGGCCAGAAUCUGCAACUGACUGGCAGACGGAAACACAGACAUGAGCCAAGUGCUCCGAGAUCUACCAGCCAAGGGCUCAAGCUGUCCAGGAAAACCUUGCAUACAAGAGAGACCACACUAAGACACCUCCAGUGCGGCCUACACUCAGAUCUGAUCAAUAACGUCGCUGUGGCUGUAUUUAACUCCCCUGGGGACACACUGAAGGUUUCCAGCUAGUUUGUUUCUCUUACAGGUCACACAGAGUGGGGAAAGGUGGAGAUAAGGGGACACGAUGGGCAUUAUUUUAAAGAUUCAUUCAUUUAACAAUAGCACAUAGUAGGCACUGUUCUAGUUGCUUGGAUACAUCAAUGAACCAAUCAGGCAAAUUGUAUCUUAGAAGGUGACAGAUGUUCUGGAAAAAAAAAUAGAACAGGACUGGCUGGGAGGGGGCCACUGAGGGAGACUUCUAGGAUGCUAUGAAAAUCCUAUAUCUUGGGAUGCCUGGGUGGCUCAGUGGUUGAGCAUCUGCCUUUGGCUCAGGGUGUGAUCCCGGAGUCCCCGCAGGGAGCCUGCCUGUGUCUCUGCCUCCCUCUGUGUGUCUCUCAUGAAUGAAUAAAUAAAAUC